rnacentral:tRNA from 1 species
GCUCGCUUAGCUCAAUGGCAGAGCACCUGGCUGUUAACCAGGGUGUUGUAGGUUCGAGCCCUAUAGCGAGCGCCA